GCUGAGCUUGGUGGUGCAUACCUGUAAUCCUAGCGAAUAAGGAGGCUGAGGCAGGAGGAUUGCAAGUUUGAGGUUAGCCUCAGCAACUUAGCAAGACCCUGUCUCAA
rnacentral:sRNA from 1 species